rnacentral:rRNA from 1 species
UAGGGAAUUUUCCGCAAUGGGCGAAAGCUGACGGAGCAAUACCGCGUGAGGGAUGACGGCCUGUGGGUUGUAAACCUCUUUUCUCAAGGAAGAAGUUCUGACGGUACUUGAGGAAUAAGCAUCGGCUAACUCUGUGCCAGCAGCCGCGGUAAUACAGAGGAUGCAAGCGUUAUCCSGAAUCACUGGGCAUAAAGCGUGUGUAGGUGGUUUGGUAAGUCUGCUGUUAAAGACUGGGGCYCAAC